AAACUAGAUUUAUGAGAACAUUGUAAAAAUAACAAGCUCUUAAUACAUUGAACCAGGUCUGGGAAAUAAAAUGGAGGUCAUAUUCAGAAGCAGACACAUGCGAUCUGAUGGAUUCAGAUAAAAGCCCAGAUUUUGUGGAGAAAUUGGCUCACAAGUACAAGCAAAAAUGCAAAAUCGAGUCAAGUACUGAUUCUGAAUCUGAGAUCAAUACAGAGGGCACCUUCACGCGAAGAUUCUUUAAAAAAGCAAGUGACAUGAAACUUCAAUAAAAAAAAAAUAAAAAUCCACCUUCCCGAACCAUGGCUGAUCAAAGGCAGGACAGGCGUAGCUGCAUCCGUGAAGCAUUCAGUGUUAUCAACACCAGGGUUGGCAUCAAGAAGAAACAAAGAAAAAUGCUCCAUCGUUUUAAGCAGUAGUUUUGAAUACUAAGGUGCUGGAAGUCUUUCUUGAUAGUAAAGAGUGUUCAAGCCUCUUUUUUUCCAGGGCGAUCACAAAAAGAAUCGCAUGGAAUUUGCAGAAGGUAUCAUAAGAGAGUUUUUAGAUCCUUAUGAUGGUGACUCUGAAGAUGUACCAAAUCUUUCAGACUGCAGCUUGAAUAAUUGUUCCCUUGGGGACAUAAGCUGCAAUGGAGUUUCAAAUUCACUGAACUCACGUAUCCCAGAAGAGGUUGCUAUUGAAGAACCUACCUUUCUGAAAAAUCCAGAACUUGCCAAAUGUACCAGUUGGACUUCUCCAACGUUAGAAACAAAUGAUGUGUACAUGCAGCCAAUGAGUGAAUUGAAAUUGCCAAUAGAGAUCAUCAGUCAAGAGGUGAGAGAUUGUUCAACAAGACUUUCAGAGCCAGCUGGAUUGUCUGUGGAUUCUAGAAUAGUUACUCAGGUACAGGGGCCGAGGUUAGAACAUUCCUGGUUCAUGAAUAUUGAUCCUCCUAAACCUGUAAAACACUUGGAAAACGUAGGAAGAGUGCCCUUGCAACCUGCCAGGCUCUUGUAUGAUAAGGACAUUAAGUUGUAUAAACCAUCACUGUUCAAGAGAAAACUGGAACUACCACAUUCAGAGUGUGAAAAAAUUAAAAGAAAGAAACAGCAUAUGGCAUAAGCUAAGCUGCAUCUGAGACUCAAGUUUUCAUCACUGAGUUCAGUGACUGGCUUUUUGCUGGUUUCAAGAACAACCAACUUCUCAAGAAGUGCCAAUAAAAUGAAGCCAAUGAAAA